GACGAACGCUGGCGGCGUGCCUAACACAUGCAAGUCGAACGGAGUUGAUUCUUCGGAAUUAACUUAGUGGCGAACGGGUGAGUAACGCGUGAGAAACCCGCCUUUCAGUGGGGGACAACAGUUGGAAACGACUGCUAAUACCGCAUAAUGUUAUUUGGGGGCAUCCCUGGAUAACCAAAGCUUUAUGUGCUGAAAGAUGGUCUCGCGUCUGAUUAGCUAGAUGGCGGGGUAACGGCCACCAUGGCGACGAUCAGUAGCCGGUCUGAGAGGAUGAACGGCCACAUUGGGACUGAGAUACGGCCCAGACUCCUACGGGAGGCAGCAGUGGGGAAUAUUGGGCAAUGGGGGAAACCCUGACCCAGCAACGCCGCGUGAAGGAAGAAGGCCUUCGGGUUGUAAACUUCUUUUAGCAGGGACGAAGGACGUGACGGUACCUGCAGAAAAAGCAACGGCUAACUACGUGCCAGCAGCCGCCGUAAAAC
rnacentral:rRNA from 1 species